UGUUUGUUGCGGUGGCCCUGAGGUGCAAAACACAAUGGCAAAUCAAAAAUGUUGUCGUGUUUUCUUAUUUGCUGUUGUGUUUUGCAUCUCAGGGCUACCUCCAUAAAACA